rnacentral:lncRNA from 1 species
GAAAUAAGGCAUCCUUAAGGCUUUAUUUUAAUUCAGAAAUCUUUCAAAAUAUCGGAAUUGCCCUUGGAACAGAAGUUACCAGCUUCGUCGAGAAGCCAAUGUAACUCCAGUGGCCAGAAGGGACUUCUCGAGCAGGAUUAGACCCGUCGUGGGCACCAGGCUCCAAAGGGCAGUGAGCUGUGCCUGUCCAUGAACUCGAGCCCUGGCGUCGCUCUGCUGCCCUGUGCCGGCAGCCGUGACGCGUGUGCAGCAGCAGGGACGGCACCUGCACCCCUUCCCGUGUGUCACCCAUGAAAUGAGUUUGCAGGAGCUUUCUUGCCUAGCCGGCGUCAGCUCCAGCUGUGGCUCACGGUGGAGAUGAGCAGCUUGUAUGGAUGUUUGCAGAGGAUUCCUCUGGUGGAUGCUGUCAAGCAUCAGCGAGUGACAGUUACCCUCGGGAUGGAGGAAGUGGUCCCGUUCCUCUGGAAUGGAAUGGUUUAGCCACUUCGCCCCCUGCCUUGGGGCAGUGGGGAUGGCUGAAGGGCCCUCGCAGUCCCCUCGCACCUCUUUCCUAUGUUCAGCCUCAGGUGGACAAGGAACACAAACUUCUCCAGGCUUUAAACUGAGUCCAACUGAGAAUAUUUGC